AUAUAUAUAUAUAUAUAUAUAUAUAUAUUUAAGAAAUAAGUAGCACGCUAACCGCUUCAUUUAUUUUAUUUAGAAAUAAACUUAGCUGGAAAUGUGAAUCAACUAGGAUUCGAACUUGGUUCUCGGAUACCAACCACCAAAUCCUUUGCCACUUGCUCUAGGGACGGUCGGUAAUAAGCUAUAUUUAUCGAUUAAUUACAUUAUACAACGUUUUUGGCAUUUUUC
rnacentral:lncRNA from 1 species